GCUGGGCGUGGUGGCACACGCCUGUAGUCCCAGCUACUUGGGAGGCUGAGGCAGGGGAAUCACUUGAAUCCAGGAGAUGGAGGUUGCAGUGAGCCAAGAUCCGGCCACUGCACUCCAGCCUGGAUGAUAAAGUGAGACUCUGUCUCAA
rfam:Homo sapiens chromosome 16 genomic contig HSCHR16_3_CTG3_1, GRC reference assembly NOVEL PATCH for GRCh38.